UACGGGGGGGCAAGCGUUGUUCGGAAUUACUGGGCGUAAAGGGCUCGUAGGCGGCCAACUAAGUCGGAUGUGAAAUCCCCAGGCUUAACCUGGGAACUGCAUCCGAUACUGGAUGGCUUGAAUCCGGGAGAGGGAUGCAGAAUUCCAGGUGUAGCGGUGAAAUGCGUAGAUAUCUGGAGGAAUACCGGUGGCGAAGGCGGCAUCCUGGACCGACAUUGACGCUGAGGAGCGAAAAGCUAGGGGAGCAAACGGGG
rnacentral:rRNA from 1 species